AUUGAACGCUGGCGGCAGGCCUAACACAUGCAAGUCGAGCGGAUGACGGGAGCUUGCUCCUUGAUUCAGCGGCGGACGGGUGAGUAAUGCCUAGGAAUCUGCCUGGUAGUGGGGGACAACGUUUCGAAAGGAACGCUAAUACCGCAUACGUCCUACGGGAGAAAGCAGGGGACCUUCGGGCCUUGCGCUAUCAGAUGAGCCUAGGUCGGAUUAGCUUGUUGGUGAGGUAAUGGCUCACCAAGGCGACGAUCCGUAACUGGUCUGAGAGGAUGAUCAGUCACACUGGAACUGAGACACGGUCCAGACUCCUACGGGAGGCAGCAGUGGGGAAUAUUGGACAAUGGGCGAAAGCCUGAUCCAGCCAUGCCGCGUGUGUGAAGAAGGUCUUCGGAUUGUAAAGCACUUUAAGUUGGGAGGAAGGGUUGUAGAUUAAUACUCUGCAAUUUUGACGUUACCGGCAGAAUAAGCACCGGCUAACUCUGUG
rnacentral:rRNA from 1 species